GCAAGGCAAAGCAUCACAAAACAGUCUCAUCCACAACUUCAGUGACACUAGGUGCCAAUAGCUUAUUGGCAGGGACUCGGAAAUGCUGGUCCCCAUGGAAGUGGGCUGGUUCUGUCUGAGUCUUUCAACAAGACCUUUCUAUCAAAGGAUUGGGGUCUGGAGAAGUUUGAGGGGGGUAGGCACAGAGAGCAGAGGGAAAGAAGGGAGUGACAAGACCAAAUGCCCUGCUUUUCAGGACAUGUGAGUUUCCAGAACAGCUCCCCAGCUGCAGACACUCAAUAAAUCCUUCUCAGGCCAUGUAGUUUAUUUUCUAUGAAGCCAAAUUAACCUUCAGUGUGAUCCAGCGUAGGGACAAAGCCUUAGCAAUAGCGGCAAAUAGCAAGAGAAAGAUGCUGUGAUCCUGCGUGGAUAAUAACCGUAUUCACACGCUUGAAUGAAGAGCAGCAUUGCAUCAGCUUUUUGGUCUGGAGGUGUCCAGGACCAGCAGUGCUCAUGGCCAUCUCUGUGUAAGCAGAUUCCCCUAGGCACAGGAAAGGACAGCUCUCUCCCAUUCCCAGUGUUUGGCCCAGUGAAGCUAAAACCACACUCCACACAGGGAAAGUCUGUUAUCUGAGAGGAAGCUUCCUUCUGGGACUCCAACAUCUCUUCCAGAUCUGCCUCCGAGAAGAGCAAGGCCGCGGUGUGCACUGUGGAUCCACUAAGCAAGGCCAGCACCACCCGCCUGACGAGCCUCAGAAGAGCAGCCAGUGCCUGGGCUCUGGGAGCCGCCCUUGGAUAUCACGACCGUGGGUCUCAACAACAGCGAUGGGAGCGCAGGGCGGUGGAGGCACCUCCCCCGCAGCCUGUACGGCACCGCAAGGCCAACAACCAGUGUCCGGCGGAUUUCCCUGCGUGGUAUUGAUUUCUGGAACCCUGGAUGCUUGGUCAGAUGAAGAUGGGAGGGGACUGAUUGCUAUUUCCCAGGUGCGAAGGGUGGCCAAGGAGAAGAGGAAGUGAUCCUACUGGGCUUUUCGGGGACAGGACUGUGACAUCAGGAAGCAGAUUUUGGAAAAGGAAGAAAGAACUUCCCAAUCAUUAGGCUGCCUGAGAAAGGAAUGGGCUGCCUUGUGAGGCAGCAUUCCCUGUUGUAAGAGGUAUUUAAGCAAAGGUUCCAUGAAUCGUCUGCACAGACGGUCUGCCUCAGGCACAGGGGCUUGAGCGGAUGCUGGAGCCCCUCCCACACAGGCCACUGGGAUUCUCUCUUUGAAGCCUCCACAGAACUGCUGUGAGUCUCCUGGAACUGCCCUAACAGCGUUCCACCAACUGGGUGGCUUCAGCAGCAGAAAUGAAUCGGCUUGCAAUCCUGGAGACGGGUCUAAGAUCAAGGUGGCUGCAGUGGUGCUGGUGAUUGCUGGUAGUCGCUGCCACUCCUUGGCUUAUACAAGCAUCACUCAGAUCUCUGCCUUCAUCUUCCCCUGGCAUUCUCUCUGUCUGUGUCUGUCUGCAAAUUUCCCCUUUUUAUAAGGACACCAGUCACAUGAAAUCAGGGCCCACCCUGAUGACCUCGUUUUAAUUUGAUUACCUCUAUAAAGAUCAUGUCUCCAAAUAAAGCCACAUUCUGAGGUAGUGGGGGUUAGGACAUCAACAUAUAAAUUCGGGGGAGACGCAAUUCAACUCAUGACAGAAGCUUUUCCGAUCAAGGCUAAGUCACCGCGUAUUGUUGACUUGUGUGUGGCUGUUUCAACAAUCCAGGAAAACAAAAUUGUUAAAACCUGAGGUGGCAGCAACACGAGGUAAACUUUUUCACGGGACUGCUACCACCCAUGAAAUGAGAAAGGCCUUCGUUUCCAAGCACCUCGCCCGAGUUCCAAGAAUUAAAGAUUCUCCUGCAGCUCACUGCAUAUGACAUGUGUGGCAGCUGAGAAACACACACUCACCGUCAGCGCUUCCCGAAUUCCACGGGAGCGCCUGGGAGGCAGCAUUCCCCUCCAUCCCCAGAGAACCUCCCUGUGCAGCUCACUGCCUGUGUGCAUGGCCUGCAGAGCCACACCCCACAUUCCCAUGGCGGCUUCACUGUCUGUCCUCCCACACUGGGUCCUCCAUCACACUCCUUCAUGCUUCGUGUGACAGCCGCCAAGAGACGAUGCCUUGACAUAGUGGGGUGUUUCUGCAAGCCUCCAUUUAAGUUAAACAAGGCCAGCUUAUGUGGGGUCUUGUUUUGACACUUGGUAGUGUGGGUCAUACUGGAUCCAGAAAAAAAGAUAUGUCUGCCUCCUAAGCACCCAUACCUGAAAAUGAGACCUUACCUGGAAAUGGGGUCUUUGCAAUGAAAUUCAGAUGAGGUCAUACUGGACUGAGGUGGGCCCUAUUGCAAUAAGAUUUUGUGUCCUUCUAAGAAGAGCAGAGACACAGAAACACACAGAAGAAGGCCAUGUGACGACAGAGGCAAAGACUGGAGCAACGCGUCCACAGGCCAAGGAACACCAAGGAUGGCCAGCAGCCCCAGAGCUGGGAGGGAGGCCUGGGGUGGCUCCCCUAGAAACUUCAGAGAGAGCAGGGCCCUGCUGACACCUCGCGUUUGGACUUCUAGCCUCCAGACGGGGAGAGAAUGGACUUCUGUUGUUUUAAGCCAUCUAGUGUGCAGGACUUUGUUAUAGCAGCGCUGGGAAACUAAUACAUUUAGGAUGAGGAUAUAGCGAGACGUUGUUGUAGUAAGAAUAGAUGAGGCCAGGCACAGUGGCUCACUCCUGUAAUCCUAGCACUUUGGGAAGCCGAGGCAGGCAGAUCACUUGAGGUCAGGAGUUCAAGAUCAGCCUGGCCAACGUGGUGAAACUCCGUCUCUACCAAAAAUAUAAAAAAUUAGCUGGGUGUGGUGGCAGGGACCUUGUAACCCCAGAUACGUGGGAGGCUGACACAGGAGAAUUGCUUGCAUGCCACUGCACUCCAGCCUGGGCAACAGAGCGAGACUAUGUCUAAAAAAAAAAAAAAA
ensembl:lncRNA